CCAAUCAUACCUUUUGCUUCGUCCUUCGCCUUCUGAAAAUUCUCCUAAACAAGCUUCAAGUCAAGGUCGAGCUGGAUAUGUUUGUUUUCCAACUCAGUAUAGCAAGCCACAAGCUCGCAAGAUUUCUGCGAAGAGUCAGUCGACAGACAUCAAAGAGAGGUUGCUUCCGAGUGACUAAGAGAAAAACCGUAACAUUUCUAAGACUACAGUCGAAUCAAAAUAUUCAACAGUAGUCUCGGGGACUACACCCAGUGGGUGCACUCAGCGUGCCCCCACUGGUUCUACCGACUUGGUCCGAUCAGAUGGCCGAAAAGAGACAAAGAGGUUAUGAUCCUAAAACUAUAGCUCUAUAGCUAACUACCAGCAGUCAGCCUUGGUCUCAUCAUUAUCUACCAAAAAACAAGUUCUUCAGACUACAGUCGACUGCCAGCAGUCCACCAUAGUCUCGGGGACAACACCCAGUGGGUGCACUCAGCGUGCCCCCACCGGUUCCAAGAUUCCAUUCGACAUGGUCCGACCAGACCGAGUGAAGAAGUUAGAGUGAAGAAAUUUAAAAUACGAAGACUACAGUCGACUGCCAGCAGUCCACCAUAGUCUCGGGGACUACACCCAGUGGAUGCAUUCAGCGUGCCCCCACCAAUCCAAAAAUUCAAUCGAUACACCCAGUGGGUGUACAGAUACAAAGAUCUUCGGAAAGAAAGUCUUCAGAUAGCAUAUCCUAACAGAAUAAGCGGUGACCAACUAACCUGGACGUUGCUCGGAACGUCUGAGCUAGCAUCAUAGGCCGCUUGGCUGGCUUCCCGGAUUGCCUUCACCUGCUCCAUCAUGAUCCCCGCCUGGCAUAUAGCCUCCUUAGCAGCACCCGCUUGGUCCUCUGGGACGUGGUGUGUGGCGAAAAGGGAGGACGGGUUAGCAGUCAACGACGAAGGUCGGGCACUUGUCAGCGGCACAGCGAAGGACAUGGAAUUCAGAGUGAUGUUGCCACCCUCUUGAACCAACGUCUUAGGCACUGAUGUAGUCUGAGUAGUCUUGCCAGCCGACACCUUUCUAUUCCUCCUCGACCUCAGUAGCGCCUCGUCGUCAUCAUCAGGGAGAUUGAUGACAUGAGGAGGAACUACAGGAAAAAUCCAAAGUUGAAAUCGAAAAUCCAAUCGACCAAAAGUGAAACUACAGAGAGCAUACCAAGGUUGGAGGUGGCAGCGUCUUCCAUUUCCUGGUCUUCAUUCUUGGCGGAGGUCUCGGAGGUAGCAGCACUGCAGAUUUCAGAAACCAGUCGGUUAAUCAAUGAGUCGACCAAGAUUUCGUCCGUGCUAAACAAGAAGACACAAGUUCUGUUGUUACCCGGAAAUGGUGGGAAUGGCCAUUCUCAUCUUGGGCAAGGCCUUCGGCGGCUUUGAUGGCGCCGCUCGUGGAUGCUUCAGCGCUUUUUCAGUCGGCGCCGGAGAAGCCGCCCGAGGGUGCUUUGAAAAUUGCCUAAUGGGCACAAUCCCUUUGCCGCGCUCGCUCGCGGGUUCGUGGGUGGGCUUGGAUCUCCUUUUCGUGCGAGGAGGAUCGACUUCCUCCUCCUCCUCUUCACUGGAGCCGUCGUCAUCCUCUUCCCCCUCACCAUCAGAUUGCCACUCCUCCUCACUUUCACCUCCGCUCGCCUCUCCCUCCUAGGCCUGUUCUUGUGCCCCAUUGGGCAUCGAGUACAUCUCACUCAUGGCCUAGAAGACAACAAACAAGACAAAAGUCAGUCGACUGAUUUUAAGGAAACAGAAUGAAGAAAGCAUGAUCACAGUCAGAGAUGCAGAAUUGGACCUUGUCUACUUCGUAUGAUUGGUCGAGUGGAGGAAUCCUCCUGGCACCUCGGGGGUUGUCUUUGUUCCCUGUGAUACUCGCCAGCCACCUCUCCGGCGUGGCAUCAUCAAUCUCCUCCGGGUGGAUCCGAGUGGUGUCCUCAGUGCCAGAAUACAACCACAUCGGAUGGUCUCGAGCUUGAAGCGGCUGGAUGCGUCGUUGGAGGAAGACCUCCAAGAGGUCCAUGCCGGUCACCCCGUCAUGGAUAAGCUGGACAACACGCUCGACCAGCACCUUAACAUGCACCUUCUCUUCCAGGAUCACCUUCAAAGAGGAAGGCUUCCUCACUCGUUCCAUGGAAAAAGGAGGGAGUUCGGUCGACUGCCCCGGCGUCGGCUGGUCUUUGCAGUAGAACCAGGUCCACUGCCAUCCACGGACCGAGUCGGGUAGGAUCAUGGCCGGAAAAGAGCUUUUCCCCCUCAUUUGAACCCCAAGACCCCCACACAUCUGAAUCACUUGUGUUCUCUCAUCACUCAGAUUGGCCUUUUUCACCGUCUGGGAGCGACAGGUGAAGAUGUGCUUGAAAAGACCCCAAUGAGGCCGGCAACCCAAGAAAUUCUCGCACAAAGACACGAAAGCAGCGAGGUACACGAUGGUGUUGGGUGUGAAGUGGUGGAGUUGCGCCCCAAAGAAAUUCAGAAAUCCCCGAAAGAAAGGGUGAGGCGGCAAAGAAAACCCACGGUCGACAUGGGUGGCCAAGAGAACGCACUCACCCUCCUGAGGCUGUGGCUCAGACUCCUUCCCCGGGAGCCACACCGAUCCAUGGGGGAUCAGUCCUCCAUCGGCCAGGUCAUCAAGAUCUGCUUGACGAAUCGUCGAGCGGAUCCAGUCGCCCUGGAUCCAGCCCUGCGGCAGGCCGGCUGUGACGCUCGGAUAGUUAAGCUAGAGUGAACCUGUGCUAAUGAUGCCACGUCACCUCGAUUACUGAUGCUAAUCUCGUGUUAGUUCGAAACCGAUUCAAAUUCAAUUCAAAAUCAAGCAAACAAUAAAAGUUUUCAAAUAUUAAAACUAAAAUGUUCGGGGUGAGCCAAAUAAUGCAUAGGUAAGUAUGGUGGAGAAACCACAUUUUUAGAAAAGGUUUAAUACUCUAAAAACAUUUUGAACAAUAGCAAAAACAAUUAGUUAAAUGCCUUUUACAAUUAAUAAAAUAUUAAAAUAUUUCAUUUUUGUCACCAAACUCUUUUGUGGCAUUGGGGUAUGUUGAAACACUAAAGUAGAUGCUAAUUAUAUAUUUUUAUACAAAAUUAAAACAAAUUGUAAAUUAAAAGAAAAUAAAUAUAAAGGAAAGGGAAUAACCAAAAACAAAACCUAAAAGAAAAAAGGGAAAAGGCCUUCCCCAGCUGGGCCGACCCAGCUGGCCACCAGGCCAAGCCCAGCCGGCCUCCCCCACUGGCCCAGCCAGCCGCCCCCAUUCCCCUUAUCUCCCCCGAAACCCUAACCCACUCCCACGAUCCCCACUCUCCCCCCCCCCCGCGCGAUUUGGUUCGGGGGCGACCCAACGCACGCCGUCCCGAUCCCGUUGNNNNNNNNNNNNNNNNNNNNNNNNNNNNNNNNNNNNNNNNNNNNNNNNNNNNNNNNNNNNNNNNNNNNNNNNNNNNNNNNNNNNNNNNNNNNNNNNNNNNNNNNNNNNNNNNNNNNNNNNNNNNNNNNNNNNNNNNNNNNNNNNNNNNNNNNNNNNNNNNNNNNNNNNNNNNNNNNNNNNNNNNNNNNNNNNNNNNNNNNNNNNNNNNNNNNNNNNNNNNNNNNNNNNNNNNNNNNNNNNNNNNNNNNNNNNNNNNNNNNNNNNNNNNNNNNNNNNNNNNNNNNNNNNNNNNNNNNNNNNNNNNNNNNNNNNNNNNNNNNNNNNNNNNNNNNNNNNNNNNNNNNNNNNNNNNNNNNNNNNNNNNNNNNNNNNNNNNNNNNNNNNNNNNNNNNNNNNNNNNNNNNNNNNNNNNNNNNNNNNNNNNNNNNNNNNNNNNNNNNNNNNNNNNNNNNNNNNNNNNNNNNNNNNNNNNNNNNNNNNNNNNNNNNNNNNNNNNNNNNNNNNNNNNNNNNNNNNNNNNNNNNNNNNNNNNNNNNNNNNNNNNNNNNNNNNNNNNNNNNNNNNNNNNNNNNNNNNNNNNNNNNNNNNNNNNNNNNNNNNNNNNNNNNNNNNNNNNNNNNNNNNNNNNNNNNNNNNNNNNNNNNNNNNNNNNNNNNNNNNNNNNNNNNNNNNNNNNNNNNNNNNNNNNNNNNNNNNNNNNNNNNNNNNNNNNNNNNNNNNNNNNNNNNNNNNNNNNNNCGGAGCUCGUGCCCGGCUCCCCCCGUCGCCCGGGCAGGCUACGGCCUCGGGCACAGGCACCACACCCGCUACCCGCUACCAUCGGCGCCCGCUAAGGCCCCUGGGCCAAUGACAAGGGGGCCCCACCCCCUAAAAAGAACGGUUUUUAUUAAAACAAAAACAAAAAUAAAAUGAAAAUGAAUUAAAACUAAUUAACUAAUUAGUUAAUUAAUUAAUUAAUUAAGUAUUUAAUUAAUCUAAUUAAUUCUGUUUAAUUAACCCUAACCACUAAUUAACCUAAUUAACUAAGGUUAAUUAACUUUGAUUAGGCUAAUUAAGUUAAUAGAGUAUGACGAACGGGACCCACAUGUCAGGGUUGACUCAGUCAACCCCUGUUGACUGCUGACGUCAGCAUGACAUCAUGCUGACGUCAUUAAUACAUUUUUUUGAAUUAAUUAAAUAAAUAAUUAAAUUUCAGAAAUUAAUAAAAUCUUUAGAAAAUCAUAUCUUUUAAUCCGUAACUCGGAUUAAAAUGUUUUCAACAUGAAAGUUGCUCAGAACGACGAGACGAUUCCGGAUACGCAACCCGUUCGUCCGCCACACCCCCCUAACCUAUCGAACUCGCAACUUUCCCCCCCUCCGGCUCCUCUGCCCGAAAACACGGAACCCCGGGAAUAUUUCCCGGAUGCUUCCCCCCUUCACCGGUAUCACCUCCUACCGCGUUAGAACACGUCUAGCUCUGCUUGUUAUCCUGUUAUGCACUUGCUUGCUAUGUAUUUACUGUUUCUUCCCCCUCUUCUCUUCGGUAGACCCCGUGACGAUGCGGAUGCCCCGGUUCGACUACGGAGUUGACGACCCCUCUCUCUUGCCAUAGCAACCAGGCAAGCCCCCCCUUUGAUCACCAGAUAUCGCCUAUUCUUCUCUAUACUGCUUGCAUUAGAGUAGUGUAGCAUGUUACUGCUUUCGUUAAUCCUAUUCUGAUGCAUAGCCUGACAUUGUCGCUACAUCUGUUGAUACCUUACCUGCAAUCCUAAAUGCUUAGUAUAGGAUGCUAGUUUAUCAUCAUUGGCCCUACAUUCUUGUCAGUCUGCCUUGCUAUACUAUUGGGCCGUGAUCACUCGGGAGGUGAUCACGGGUAUAUACUAUACAUACAUACAUACUAUACAGAUGGUGACUAAAGUCGGGUCAGCUCUUUGAGUACCCGCAAGUGAUUCUGACGAGGGGGCUGAAAGGACAGGUGGCUCCAUCCCGGUAGAGGUGGGCCUGGGUUCCUGACGGCCCUCGACGGUUACUUUGUGGCGGAGNNNNNNNNNNCCCCCUUCACCGGUAUCACCUCCUACCGCGUUAGAACACGUCUAGCUCUGCUUGUUAUCCUGUUAUGCACUUGCUUGCUAUGUAUUUACUGUUUCUUCCCCCUCUUCUCUUCGGUAGACCCCGUGACGAUGCGGAUGCCCCGGUUCGACUACGGAGUUGAUGACCCCUCUCUCUUGCCAUAGCAACCAGGCAAGCCCCCCCUUUGAUCACCAGAUAUCGCCUAUUCUUCUCUAUACUGCUUGCAUUAGAGUAGUGUAGCAUGUUACUGCUUUCGUUAAUCCUAUUCUGAUGCAUAGCCUGACAUUGUCGCUACAUCUGUUGAUACCUUACCUGCAAUCCUAAAUGCUUAGUAUAGGAUGCUAGUUUAUCAUCAUUGGCCCUACAUUCUUGUCAGUCUGCCUUGCUAUACUAUUGGGCCGUGAUCACUCGGGAGGUGAUCACGGGUAUAUACUAUACAUACAUACAUACUAUACAGAUGGUGACUAAAGUCGGGUCAGCUCUUUGAGUACCCGCAAGUGAUUCUGACGAGGGGGCUGAAAGGACAGGUGGCUCCAUCCCGGUAGAGGUGGGCCUGGGUUCCUGACGGCCCUCGACGGUUACUUUGUGGCGGAGUGACAGGGCAGGUUGAGACCACCUAGGAGACAGGUGGGCCUGGCCCUGUUCGGCGUUCGCGGAUACUUAACACGCUUAACGAGAUCUUGGUAUUUGAUCUGAGUCUGGCUACGAGCCUAUACGCACUAACCAUCUACGUGGGAGUAGUUAUGGGUAUCCCGACGUCGUGGUAUCAGCCGAAGCACUUCAGACGUCAGCGACGGAGCGGCGCGCGCCGGAUUGGAACGUAAGCCUGCUCUUGUAUUAAGGGGGCUAGUUCUGCUUCCGGCCGCCCUCGCAACGUGCAGGUGUGCUAUGGGCGAUGGGCCCAGACCCCUGUGCGCUUAGGUUUAGACCGGCGUGCUGGCCUCUCUGUUUUGCCUAGGUGGGGCUGUGACGUGUUGAUCUUCCGCGGCCGGGCAUGACCCAGGAAAGUGUGUCCGGCCAAAUGGGAUCAAGCGUGUUGGGCUAUGUGGUGCAGCCCUGCAGGGAAGUUUAAUCUAUUCGAAUAGCCGUGAUCUUCGGUAACAGGACGACUUGGAGUUGUACCUUGACCUUAUGACAACUAGAACCGGAUACUUAAUAAAACACACCCUUCCAAGUUCCACAGACAACCCGGUGAUCGCUUUUCCGCAGGGCGACGAGGAGAGGAUCGCCGGGUAGGAUUACGCUAUGCGAUGCUACUUGGAGAUGCUACUGGAGAUGCUACUUGGAGAUGCUACUUGGAGAUGCUACUUGGAGGACUUCAAUCUACUCUCUUCUACUUGAUGCAAGACGGUGACUGCGAGAAGCGUAGUCUUCGACAGGAUUAGUUAUCCCCCUCUUAUUCUGGCAUUCUGCAGUUCAGUCCACUGAUAUGGCCUCCUUACACAUAUACCCAUGCAUAUGUAGUGUAGUUCCUUGCUUGCGAGUACUUUGGAUGAGUACUCACGGUUGCUUUCUCCCCCCUUUUCCCCCUUUCCUUUCUUUCUGGUUGUCGCAACCAGAUGCUGGAGCCCUGGAGCCAGACGCCACUACCGACGAUGAUUCCUACUACACUGGAGGUGCCUACUACUACGUGCUCCCGCUGAUGAUGACCUGGAGUAGUGUAGGAGGAUCCCAGGCAGGAGGCCUGCGCCUCUUUCGAUCUGUAUCCCAGUUUGUGCUAGCCUUCUUAAGGCAAACUUGUUUAACUUAUGUCUGUACUCAGAUAUUGUUGCUUCCGCUGACUCGUCUAUGAUCGAGCACUUGUAUUCGAGCCCUCGAGGCCCCUGGCUUGUAUUAUGAUGCUUGUAUGACUUAUUUUAUUUGUAGAGUUGUGUUGUGAUAUCUUCCCGUGAGUCCCUGAUCUUGAUCGUACAUGUUUGCGUGCAUGAUUAGUGUACGAUUGAAUCGGGGGCGUCACAAGUUGGUAUCAGAGCCGACUGCCUGUAGGAAUCCCCCUUCCACACUCCUUGGCCGAAGUCGAGUCUAGUCGUUGAAAAACUUUUACUAACAUGGAUGUGUGGCCCAUGGGCCCACGUCGCCAUCGGGAGGUAUUAGGAUCUUUUACUCCUCGACCUUUACUCUGGGACUCUGAACUCUCUUCUACUCGGGUUAAACGAUUUCUACUAAAAUCUGACUUUAGGUUCUCGAAAAUACUUUCUCCCGGAGAGCCCCUUCAGUCCAGGUGAUCGCCGACUACACCAGAAGAUUUCGAAGUUACUCGCGGAAACUCUUUUGAGACUUUGUGUCCGUUGCUUUUGCAAUUCCCUACCAUCGAAAUAUCCCUAUGGAUAAAUACAUACACUUGACGUUCUUACUUUUAUUCCCAGUUGAUCUUGUUAUUACAAGAUACCCCGAAAUUCUCUCUAUUGAUCCGAGAAUAUCUUGUGCCUACUGUCUUGCAAUUCCUUGUCACCUGAAUACCCCUAUGGAUAAUUCUCGCACUUGUCGAGUAUCCGCUUAUCCCCAGUUGUUCAUGUGUUUCGCAAAAGUCUUCAAAAUAAUAUUCGAUCUUCCGAAAAUCCUCUAGAGCCUUUGGCUCUUGAAAUUCUUGCUUGCUUGCAUUAUGGUUAAUCCCAUAAGUCUCGUAGUCUUAAUGACAUUCCUUGUCAUUAUCAUUUUGAGUCCGUUGACUCAAUAUGUUUGCGAAUACACGCAAUCAUCNNNNNNNNNNCCCUGCAGGGAAGUUUAAUCUAUUCGAAUAGCCGUGAUCUUCGGUAACAGGACGACUUGGAGUUGUACCUUGACCUUAUGACAACUAGAACCGGAUACUUAAUAAAACACACCCUUCCAAGUUCCACAGACAACCCGGUGAUCGCUUUUCCGCAGGGCGACGAGGAGAGGAUCGCCGGGUAGGAUUACGCUAUGCGAUGCUACUUGGAGAUGCUACUGGAGAUGCUACUUGGAGAUGCUACUUGGAGAUGCUACUUGGAGGACUUCAAUCUACUCUCUUCUACUUGAUGCAAGACGGUGACUGCGAGAAGCGUAGUCUUCGACAGGAUUAGUUAUCCCCCUCUUAUUCUGGCAUUCUGCAGUUCAGUCCACUGAUAUGGCCUCCUUACACAUAUACCCAUGCAUAUGUAGUGUAGUUCCUUGCUUGCGAGUACUUUGGAUGAGUACUCACGGUUGCUUUCUCCCCCCUUUUCCCCCUUUCCUUUCUUUCUGGUUGUCGCAACCAGAUGCUGGAGCCCUGGAGCCAGACGCCACUGCCGACGAUGAUUCCUACUACACUGGAGGUGCCUACUACUACGUGCUCCCGCUGAUGAUGACCUGGAGUAGUGUAGGAGGAUCCCAGGCAGGAGGCCUGCGCCUCUUUCGAUCUGUAUCCCAGUUUGUGCUAGCCUUCUUAAGGCAAACUUGUUUAACUUAUGUCUGUACUCAGAUAUUGUUGCUUCCGCUGACUCGUCUAUGAUCGAGCACUUGUAUUCGAGCCCUCGAGGCCCCUGGCUUGUAUUAUGAUGCUUGUAUGACUUAUUUUAUUUGUAGAGUUGUGUUGUGAUAUCUUCCCGUGAGUCCCUGAUCUUGAUCGUACACGUUUGCGUGCAUGAUUAGUGUACGAUUGAAUCGGGGGCGUCACACCGGCCCUCGAUGAAGAUCCGCCUCGACUGGUCGCCCUUCCCUUCGCCUUCGCCGUCGCUUUCUUCGCCCGCUCCAGGGCCGUCGUCUUCUCUUUCACCAUCAUUGCCGGCGAGAUGCGCACGGGACAGCUGCACUGAGACAGAAGCGGACGCAGCGGAUAAGUCUGGAGAAGAGAGGAGGAAAUGAGAACGCACUGUUCAAAAAACCCCGUCCGGCGCCUUAUAUGAGGUUACUUCCGAGUGACUGACUUGUAGGUCCGGGCGAUCCUGUCAAAUCCCGCACCAGUCGCGCGCGCGAUACGUGGCAAAAAAGGUGGCGCAGAGAUCGAGGCGUCUCCACCCUAUCACGUCUGAUUACUGCGGCCUCCUCCACCCCGCGCGCUUCCCAAAAUUCGAAUCCCACAAAAUCCAUGAGCAGCAGAACAACUUGUCAGAUGGGGGAUCUCCUCCACACCGUCACUCGGAACUUUUCAAGUAAAGAAAUUCACUCGACUAAAACCAAGAAUGUAUCAAGGCAACCGAAAAAGAAGUUGGUGUCGUUACCUAAGUUCUUGGAUCCAAAGCCAGAUGCACUCAUAGCACAAAAAAUGGGUCGGAAGAGUUCUCAACUCCUUCCCCACUCAAACCCCGAUCCAUUCGGGGGCUAAUGAUGAAGCUAUGUACCUAGGGUAGGGUCAUGGACCUGUCCAAACUACCCUACCCAAGGACAUCUCUAGAAGAAACCACCUGUCAAUCGACUCAGAAGUGUUCCACUCGACAGACUCGAAGACACUCGACCAUGAAGCCAACCACUCGACGGCCGGGAGAUCCAAAGUCACUCUGCAUGCAAACGGUUGGUCAUUGAGUAGCUUUUAUGAUCAUCAUAGCACUUUAUUUGUGGCGUUAUCAGUAAUGCCAGAUCUUAAUGUACCUUAAACCCUACAUAACUGAGGGCCGGAGGGAUCUGGCGAACUCUAUAUAAGCCACCCCCCUCCUUAGUGUAAAGGGUUCGCACCCCUGUAACUCAUACACAUAAUUCAGUCGACCGCCUCCGGGCUCCGAGACGUAGGGCUGUUACUUCCUCCGAGAAGGGCCUGAACUCGUAAAUCCCUUGCGUAUACAACUACUCCAUAGCUAGGAUCUUGCCUCUCCAUUCCUACCCCCCUACACUACUGUCAGACUUAGAACCACGACAGUGGCCACAUAGGACCUCUGGAUUUGGCACUCCUUCUUUGGUAUGUCAGGAACUCACAAUGACAUCAACAUGCUGCAGUGCUCUCCUGUCUUUGCCAAGCUUGUUGAAGGUCAUUCUCCUCCGGUGAACUUCGAGAGCAAUGGGCGGAAGUACAACAAGGGGUACUAUCUAGCUGAUGGCAUCUAUCCGAGAUGGUCGACAUUUGUCAAGACCAUCAAAAACCCUGUGCCUGGAGGCAAGAACGCCUGGUUUGCGAAGAUUCAGGAGGCUUGCGGGAAGGAUGUCGAGCGGGCAUUUGGUGUGCUCCAAUCUCGAUUUGCUGUUGUCCGGUACCCCGCUCAGACCUGGUCGAAAGAUCAAAUGUGGGAGAUCAUGACCUGCUGUGUCAUCUUGCACAACAUGAUCAUUGAGAGCGAGCAGGAAGAGACAAUGUUUGACACUGAACCAUACCACCGGCAGGGUCCUCUUACCCAAGUUGAUCACCAGCUACCGGCAACCUGAACUGCCUACCUCAGUAUGCAUCAGGAGAUCCGAGACCCACAGGUGCAUCAUCAACUGUAGCAAGAUCUGAUAGAGCACCUAUGGAGGCUCAAGGGCGACACCGGGCGCGACGUGUGAUAAAAUAUGAGUUUUUAUUUGUUGAACUAUAUAAUUUGUAUUGAACUAUUUGUUGUUGUACUAUUUUGUUGAAGUAUUUGAAAUUUCUGUGAUGAAAUAUGUGAUAAAAAAUUAUGUUGAUAAUUGAACGCCGAGCCACGACGAACCACGCCGAAUAUGGGCCUAUUCUUGCCCAUAUGGGCCUUUUUCGCCGAAAUGGGGCUUCAAAAGUGAACCAAAAUCGACAACUGUGGGCGAGCUGGGGACGACGACCGGGCGCAAAACCGUCCCCAACACCGAAAGAAUCGCCGGCUCGCGAUUUUUAUGCGCCCUAAAGGACCGAACGGCUCGAGAUGCUCUUAGGACCACGACUCCACGAGGCACCGAGGCAGCAGCCAGCUCCCGAUGUCACUGUGUUCUGUCGCAGGCACACUGAAUCAUGCACUUGCAUCUGACGCAGUUCCUUGUAUUUGUACUAUCCUUUAAUUAAUGAAAAUUGCCGUAAAACAUUUUGUUCUACCGGUUAGGCUAAAAAAAUAGGGCCAGGGGUGAGAGAGAGAGAGAGAGGGGGUGCGUGGUGGCACUGAGCUCUGUUAGCUCAGCUGCAAGAGAAUUCAGACCACGUAGCCGAGGAGCAGGGACCAGAUUAUGCAUCCACUUUUCUACCAGCUCCACGAGGUAAAUUUGACAAUUUUGAUCUAUUAAUGAAAUCAUUUCAUAAAAUGAACUGCCACUUAAAAAAUUUCAUUCAGCUGACAUUUUUGAGUGGCGCCCGACACGAAGGCGUCACACUACAAUGACAGGCGCUGCACGCCUGGCCAGCAUCGCAUCCGGGUGAUCCAAAAAUUAUUGUCAGUGUGCAGCGCCUGAGAGCUAGGCUCCACACUAUACAGUGUAUCGCCUAGCGUUUAGGCGUUGCACACUAUCGCCUAGCGUUUAGGCGUUGCACACUACAAAAUGAAGCAACCACCAGUGCAACGCCUAUAGGCUAGGCGCUACACUGUAUAGUGUAAAUGAAGCAACCACUAGUGCAAUGCCUAGACGCUAGGCGCUACAUUGUAUAGUGUGGCGCCUAGCUCUUAGGCGCUACACAUUGACUUAGUAAUUUUUUAGACCGGGAUGCGACGCUGGCGCGUGUAACGCAUAUUAGUGAGGCGUUGCACAGUGUAGUGUGGCGUCUUCGUGUCGGACGUCUUCGUGUCGGACGUCACUUAAAAAUGUCAGGUGAGUGAUUUUUUAAGAACAGUUCAUUUUAUGAAAUGAUUUCAUCUAUAUAUCAAAAUUGUUAAAUUUACCGCUCUACGAGUGCUACUGCCAGGCAUGAAAAGUUGCUUCCGUUGGGUAAUGAUCACUGGCUGGUUUGAAAAGUCGAUCUGACAAGGAAGAGACAAGAACCAAGAUUGCAAAUCAUGAACGCUUUGUAGUUUGCACCCGGUGCUCCAAAGUGAUUGUUUAUUCUCCGUCGAUGACGUGAGUCGUAUGUGACAGCUACUUCAUCUGGUUAAAAGUUUUUUUUAACAUUCAACACCUCCUUUAUUAAUUAGCUACAAUAGUAGCAUCAGGAACAAUCAGGGGAAUAACCGCCUCCGGGGCUGUAUCCAGCCAAACACCAGGAGGAUUGAAUUUAACUACUCUAGCUAACUCAUGAGCUACUUUAUUGUUUUCUCUACAGCACUGUUUAAAGAUGAUAUGAGUAAAAUCUAAGGAUAUAAAAAAAACAGUCAUCAAAGAUGGCACUGGCAACCGAAGAAGAACUCCCUCCCUUCUUUAAGCGCGUUGAUGACCUCAAGACUAUCCGAAUUUAACUCGGUCUUGUUGCAUCGAGCGGCACGGGCUAGAUUCAAGCCAAACCUUACUGCAAUUGCUUCUGCGGUAAUUGCAUCAUAGCAUAUGUUCAGUUUUUCAUUGGCCGCUGCCACGAAAUUACCAUUGUGGUCUCUAAUGAUAGCCCCCACAGAUCCCUCCAGCGAAUCAUAGUCGAACCCCGCAUCCACAUUCAGCUUGACGUACCCAUUCCUCGGCCUCAUCCAGCCACCUUGUCGGAUCUUUGGUUUUGUAGAAUAAGCAUUAAUAUAGUUAGCAGCAAGUGAUCUCACCGCUAUACUGAUAUGUGAAGCAUUAAGCUUUACUCCUCCGUGUGUUAGCUUUCUUCUUUCCCACCACAAAAACCAGCAGCAAGUGGCAAUUGUUUCUCUGAAUUUGGGGAGUCCCAACACAUGGAUAUGAUUAUCCGGAAGAUUGAGAAGAAAUUCUAAAGUUACUUCCCCAGAUCUGUCCAGAACCAGGGCUUUAGUGGUUACCUCAUGCAAUCCAAGCAGCUUCCAAACUUCGGUGGCGACUGGGCACUCAAACAACAAGUGUCGAAUGGUCUCAGGUCCUAGGUUACAAGAAGGACAGUGGGCUCUUAUCUUGAUAUGUCUAUCCGCCAAUAACGCCCGGCAUGGAAUAGCGCUGUGGAUCACUGUCCAAACAAAAUUUUUAAUUUUUGCAGGACAAUUCAUCCCCCAAAGAGAUUUCCAAGUGGGUUUAGGCGCUGAUGAGCUAUAGCCAGCCUGCAGAUGGUGACCAAACUGGGCCUCCCAAAUAGCAUGAUAUGCAGAUCUUACCGAGAAACCCCCUGUCUUUGUCAAGCUCCAUGCCAAGAAGUCUGGCAUUUCAUAUAUAGGCACUGGGAUAGCAAGUAUUCUCUGGGCAUCAACAUGACAAAAAGUUUGGUACACAAGCUACCUAUCCCACUCCCCCAAUGCAGGAUCUAUUAGCUCAGAUACACGGGAUAACAAGUGGUUACCUCUAGGAGAGAUAACUUUUUUAGAUGGUGAUUGUGGGAUCCAGCAAUCUUCCCAAAUUUUAAUUUUUUGUCCAUCGCCCACUCUCCAGAUCAGGCAGUGCUUCAAGGUGUCCACUCCUGCGAUUAUACUUUGCCAUGUGUAGGAGGCCUUCUUCCUCAACCCCAUAUUCAAAAGAUCAUCAUUUGGGUAAUACUUUGCUUUGGGAAUCUUUGCACAUAGUGACUCAGGAUCAUCAAUAAGCCUCCAUGCUUGUUUUACCAAUAGAGCUAGAUUGAAGCAGUGAAUGUCUCGAAAACCCAUACCUCCUCUGCUCUUCGGUAUGCACAUCUUCCACCAAGCAAACCAGUGCAUUCUCUUGUGUGACGCAUCAUCACCCGACCAGAAACGUGAUAUCGCAUCUGUGAUUCUUUUGCAAAAAAAUUUAGGAAUUUUGAAGACCGACAUCGCAUAAGAUGGUAUGGCUUGUGCAACAGACUUAAUAAGCACUUCCUUACCUCCAGAAGACAGGCACUUUUCUUUCCAUCCAGUAAGUCUCAAGAUUAAACGAUCAAUUAAAUAUUGGAAGCUGUCGCUUUUAUCCAAACACAGGGUAGCAGGCAAACCCAAGUACUUAUCAUUGAUGGCCUCUGUCAUUAUAUUAAGUGUGCCACAAACCUGAGCCUUCAUGUUAACAUUCUGUGCUAGGACCGAAGAAAAUGCUCGAUUUAUCCACACUUACUAACUGACCUGAGGCACCACAGUAUAAGUCUAGUAGUGAUUUCAAACAAGUGGCAUUUUGUACAUUAGCUUUCAUGAGAAUUAACGAAUCAUCAGCAAAUAAAAGGUUGAUGACCGACGGUGCAUCACGAUAAACCUUAACUCCCACUAACUUAGGUGCACCGAGGCGUUGAAUCAGUGAGCCCGCCCCUAGUCGGAUCGGAUGGUUUAACAAGCGUUCACAGAUUCUCAAAAAGAAAAAGAAAAAGGGUUCACAUAAUGCCUCCGCGCAUAGCUAGUGGUACCGUUGAAAUUCGGUUGCCGUCUACGGAACGUGGAAUAGAGAAACUACAUAAUCAUUCAAGUCGUCUAGUAGCAACCUACACAUCACUACAAUAUCUAAGUUCCCUUGAAUGUAAAUGUAAGGGCUGUGAGCGCUCUAGAGCUGAGAGGGUCAAGUGAGCAUGUCGCUUAUUCUUCUUUAAAGAACCACUUAGAUUUAACCAUGUAUUUUAAUUGUAAAUACAUUCAUUUUUAUGUAUUUCUCCGACAAGUAUUUUUGAACGGAGAAAGUAUUAUUUAUCUUGAUCGCGGUAUAAUCGAACUCACUCACAUACACGAUCACAUACUCACCCCCUAUGAAUGCACCCAUGCGCACCUUACCCCUAUGAGCAUUUCUGAGAGACUGAGACGGCACAUCAUCUUAAGAUUGACGAAGUCGCACAGAGCAUUCGUAGUUGGUAGGAAUGUCUCCUCCCACUUAUGCACACCGCCGAAAGGCCUGAAAUAAAUCCAAAAAAAUGCGAGCACCAAUGUAAAGUUUGGGACUCUGGUGGGAGGUAUAGCAAUGCCCAUCUAACCAUCCAACAAUACAUAUUGUUUACUGUCUGGGCCAACCAUCCAACUACGUGUGUUCAACACUUGAUGUGUUACGUGUCACUUACUCCCUGACCUAAAACCACAACGUUUCUUGUAGAUCAGAGGGACUACUUUUUUGCAAGAAGAAAAAGGUUUACAUGUCGCUCAUGUACAUCGAAGUGAUGUAUCAUCGCAUAGCGGCACGGUUACCGCCCCCUCUAUGUCACAUGGCUGCAUGGGCGUCGUCAAUCCACCACCACGCUGCAUGCCCCGCCCAUCUCUCUAUCUUUCUCCCCUUCUGUCAUGGCGGUAUGCCUGAGCCAUCACCGCCUCCUCUUCACCACAUGGUUGCACAGGCACCCGACCCAUCACCUGCUCCUCUGCAUCAUAUGAUUGCACGACACCGCCAGUCCAUCACCGCCUCAUCCGCACCACACGGUUGCACGGGCGCCCGUCCCACACUGCCUCCUCCGCACCACAAGGCUGCACGGGCUUUGCCUGUCCACCACCAUGCCGCACACCCGGCCCAUCCCUCCAUCUUUCUCCCCUUCUUUUGUGCGGUAGUUAACGUCCAACGACAACGACGCUCGGGGCUUGGAGACGACUGUCGUCUUUAGAACUUGGUCACCUUCAUCAACACGCCAUGGCCCACAAGGUCUGCAGUACCACUCCCGAUACCUCCUUCCUCUCCCUCUGUCAUCCUUUCUUUGGCAGCCUGAUUCAAAUUCAAUCUCGCUCGCUUCGGUGCUAAACAAGUAGCAGAUUAUACCGGGAUUUUAUCUCAUUGUGUAAGGCUUCAAUUUAAAAGCCUCAUGUUUCAUUGCUUGAGUACACCUCCAUGCUUGUGGAUUAACAACCUCACACAGUUUAUACAUGACAUGUUGUAUGAUGCCUCUGUUCCAUAAUGUAGUGCGUAUUAGUAUUUCAAAAGUCAAAGAUGUCCAUUUGACCAAGUUUCUAAAAUAAACUAUCAAUAUCUGAAGUACUAAAUAAAUAAACUAUAACGGUACAUGUGGAUGUUGUUUUUUUUUAACUUGGUCAAACAUUGGUACAUUUGACUUUUCAAAACAAAGUAUGUACUAUAUUUUAGAACGGAGGGAGUAUUAAUUAGCAUAUCGUUCCACGCCUAAGGAGCAUGGUCUUUGGGUCAGUUAUGUACACAACUAAUGAUAACUAGGUUUUUUUGUGAAGAUAAUUUGCUUAAUUGUCACUGGGUCACUUAUGUACACACCUAAUCAGACCUUAUUAAUGCAUCAAUAAUAUUACAUUCAAAUGAAAAUUGAGAUCAAUCACUUGUACUAUUAUCUCUCUAUAUCCUCCCAUUUCCACCUCUUCCUCUUAGAAGCCGCUAUAAACAUGCUUCAUUCCCUUAGUCUAUGCAAAUCAUUACUUUUAUUUCAAAUAUGUUCUUUCUAUUUUGAUUCUAACUACGCAUAUGAAUGAUCAAUAUUGAAAACCAAAAGCCAUAUACUUUGGUGAUUUGUUGCAACUUCCAAGUAUUUCUUACUUUCACUUUCCUUUUACCAUUAUUGCAGACCAUUGUUGUUGGUGUUUUGUAUUAUUUGUCUGUGAUCAAGGUAAGUUAUGAAAUAUUGGUUGGUCAAAUUAUAAAGUUGUAUGAUUGUUGUAGAUGAUACUACAAUCACAAGUCUCAGUUAUGCAUAUCAAAGUUUUGAAUUAGUUUUGCAGAUUUACAUUAUCAUGUUCAUUCAGUAUUAUGGUUUAACCCUGCAGGUCAGUGACAUGUUUGACGCCAACCACUACUUUGGAUACGUUUUUGGUAGUGUUGCUAACAUAUCAUUUUUGCGAAGAACAAUAGUUGUAAAAAAACUGAGUAAUAUCCUACCAAGUAAAUGAUGACGUGUCCUAGCAACUAGACAUGUUCUGACACCAAAAUUAUGGAAGCCAAAACACGAAAGGCCCAUGAAAUAAACAACGACCCCAACCCGCAAAUUGAGCGGCAAGAAAUUUAUUUGUGAAUUAACAAUCAAACAAAUAAACGGUAGAAAAAUAGAACGGCGCACGUACCCUUUUAGUAUAACUAUGUUCAAAGAAAACCCUACACAUAUAACAUACAUGAAGGACGAUCUUGUAUCAAUGCUAAGUAGUCCAUCAGUUCUUGGCGAUCAGUCACGACUUCUUGCACAAGCUGUAGUGUAAGUACGAGUACUGGGGUUAAGUUGGGACGAAAUCUGUCCGAGUCGAGUUUCCUUGCACGGCAAAUUUCAGUGGUUCCUUUCGCUGAAAUGAAUGUUGACGCGUCGUUCUCAACCUUAUACUGUUCAAACGUCAACGUGCAUCUACUGAGGUACUCCAAUCCAAUAAAUCCUAUUCACUCUACGUCCUCGACUCCUCGGGCACGACGGCCGGCCAGCUGCUCGCAUGUGGCACCUCGCCUCGGCAACGGCGUCUCCACGCGCAACAGGAGGAAUCUCUCUGCCUCACUGCUCACAGCAACAUGGGGUUAGCGUUAACCAAAGCCAGGCUCUGUAAUUUCUUCACACUAACAUGACACCUAACAAUAACCAUGACCACAAGGACUUGUAUAUUUCUUCCUACUACUAACCAAUCCUGGCCAGUCCAGCUAACCGCAUCAGUUGUAUAGCAUCUAAUGGCAGAUGAUUAAAUUGCACACUGCCUUGAACGUGAUCUUUCAUGUACCACCACUACAGUAGAGUAGCUUUGUCUACUGUGGCUUAACCUGUCAAUGUCACACCCUAACCAAUUUGUGCUACUAGUUUAUUAAGCAGUAUGAUGAGAGGACGGCAAGCGUAGGCAGGAAAGUUAAUCAUGUGUCGUCGUCCCGGUUGUUGAAUGACCCCUCCAAAGAUUCCUCACCUAUCUAUCUAUCUAUCUAUCUAUCUUAGCUUCAACAGAGACAGUCAAACAUGCCUUGUCUAAUCUCAAGCUAAGAUCUGACUUUUUUUUUUUGAGAAAUUGUUCAUUCAAAUCACGAAUCAGUACAGAGUAGGUGACCCUUACAAGCACACUGAAACGCAAAAACAAAGGAACAUGAACACCUAUAAUACCCUAAGACAACCAUAACACAAGAAGAUCUCCGGAGUUCUGUGUCAUCAUCCCUGAAUCUUGAGAGAAGACCCCUGUAGCAGAAGGAUCCGCAACCAGUCGCAAACAGGUCAUCAUCUUCGACCACGGUAUAAUUGCCACCACGCACAUGUGGAAGGACAUGUCCUACUACGUGGAGACCCAGAUCUAGCGAGGCAAUCGUCGUUGCAACCACUUUUAACUUCUUGUGCCGCCUGCUCCGAGAGAUCCACUGCUGCUCAAGCUCAUCUCCUCCCACGAGAAGCUACAACGGCCUAAUGUAGGAUCAGCGAGGAUUUAAUACUAGUUGCUUCAUUAGGUGUACGUUAGAGCUGAUGAAAAGUGCUUAUGAUUGAUUACUAAUGGCUCAUUGUCAGCUUCUACUAGUAUAACUUUUCAAGCAAAUUUACAAAAAGUAUGAGCACAUGGAAAGAGGGGGAACAAAAUCAUAGCAAUAUUUUCGGGAAGCAAUACUAAUCAUACACCAAAUCUGUAGUACAGGAGCCAAACUAUAUUAGGAUUAGCUGAAUAAACACUUGUCUUGAGACAGCAUUACAAAACAAAAUUUGACACCACUAGCUGAGACGGCCACAGCGUUAGACCAAAAUCCCACUCCUAACCUUUUUUUUGGAAGGGUAUAUCCCGGUCUAGUUAACAAAGGAUUCUGCACACCUCUUCUCCGGAGCAUCAAGUAUUUGCAUCGGCACCUCCAUCACAAAUUUAAGUUGGCAGAUUUUAUAUUCUAAACUUGAUGGCAUUAGAAUGGUAGCAAACCCCCCACUUCUCAAAUCUAUGGAUUUCAUUUGGCAAAUUCUACAAUGCAGAGCCCAUCCAGCAGAUGACAUUUUCACCCAAAUAUCCAACUUAAGACUCUAGGAUGUUUUCACUGAAAUACCCAACUUAAGACUCUCUAUGACAUUUUCACUGAAAUACACCCAACCUAUCUUAUAACAUUUCCUGCAACUUUUACGCUUCUUAGAUGGGUUUGACGUAUUCGGAUUUUAGACGCAAUAUUUGGAGGCCGCCGAUGCAAAUUUCACACUACGGGAGAAGAGACGUCCAAAGGAAGGAUUAGAGUCUCAUUUCACCCCUUCGAACUACCCUUAUUUACCAACAUCAUCUUAAAGUCUUGCCCAAAGGACACAAAGCUAAUCAAACGAACAAAAAUUAACACAUGGAUGGAUACCACUGAUUAAUCAGCCUUACUUAGCUCCCCGCACGAAUCCUAGUGCAUGCAUGCAUGCACCGGCGCGC
rnacentral:lncRNA from 1 species